UAACAUCAUCCCAAAGAAGGUUGAAUGUUUACUUACUAUUUUACUAUGCAUACACAUGUUCAUGUACAUGCAUGUAUACUUGUAGGUGAGGGAAGCAUAUGGAAAAUGGUGGAGGAAGAAACAAGCCAACUCUUUAAUGCUCAGCAAAAUAACAUUCCUUACAUCAAAUGACUCGACAAUGAAGAACAGCAAGAACAGGAAAUACUUAACUGACAAUACUUAUGAGAAUUAUGCCAUGGGGACAUAUGAAGGUGGUGACAAGUUUAAAGAUAAUACAAUCACUUCAAAUUCCUCCUUAAUAUCAACAUUGCCAAAAACAUGAUCAAAUUUGCUACUGUUAUAAUUUUAGUUUCCUGUGUGAUAUACAACAUUACUGUCCUAAGGUUUGAUUUUUGUAUGGUAUCUCCUUAUUACUAUUCUCAGAA